GUAUAAAUAUAUCAUUAGUCUACUUACAAUUAUAAUAUAGUACUCCGAUAAAAAUUAGUAUGUGGAAUUCGAAAACUAAUAGAACGGUUUUAUAAAGUAGAGAAGCACAUUGAUCAUAGGACCAUCUACAAAUAUCUGGGAAGGUACAAAUGUCUCACCGAUAACCUUCAUAAAAUGUAUUUGCUGAUCUUUAUGGUCAUCACAAACAAUUGCAGAAAUAAAAUAAACGGUGGAAUGCUAGUAAUAGAUGUUGGCAAUCUCUUGAAGGUAAGAGAAAAGCUGUUGUGGUUUAGAGAACAUGGGCAUGUGAUCAGCUCCAGGAAUCACUUUGACCUCAUCAGGAGGGUUUCUUUCAAUGAUUGACAGUUGAAAAUCCUGCUCUAUUAAUUUGUCUUGUUCACACACUAUAUAGACUCUGCCCACAGUUCCAUGGUUCUCUUCUGUGAGUUGAAUAUUUUCUUGCAAAUCUUCAUCACUGAAGAUGGGAAAGGGUCUCACUAGUGACAACGCCAGGGUGAAGUCCUGCAUCAUUUACACAUGCCAAUCGUCUGUAAAAUCACUGCUUCAUAAACUAGUUUUGUAUCACAACGAUAAAUAAAUUUGUAGACUGAUUACUCAAUACUUAAUUUCUAUACUUCCUGAUAAUAAUUUGAAAAGAGCUUGAAAAGACAUAUACCUCUGGUGGAGAUAGCUGGUAAAGGUUGGAUGCUAAGCUUUGAGGAUCGGGUGUUACAUAUCGCUUCUCAUGACUGUUGGAAUUUUCAUCAGACACAGUCUUGGAGUCCAAAUUGGAUUUCAAGCUUAACCUGUGCUUGAACUAUAGAAAAUUAAAUUAAAUUGAGUUAUAACAAUGAAUUUUAACUCUAAAUUAAUUUUAUAAAAUAAGAAAUUUUGUUAAGAAUAUGGGUGUUACCUCUUGUAACAGUGUGAGAUAGCUAAAGUUGGGACCAGGCAUCCAGGCGGUAACGAAAACCGCAACCGCAAUUUUGUGGGGGAAGAACUCCAUGGCUAGAGAAAUGCACAAGCCUCCAAAACUAUGACCGACGAGGAUGACUCGUUCCUCUGGUGGUAAAGAUCGUAGAAAUUGGAGCAAAGGUUCAACAUAUUCUGAAACUGAAGUGAUGUCGAGCACCUGCUUUGGAUGGAUGCCGGAUGAAGCCAUGUCGAGACACGUGACUUCCAGUCCGGCGGAAUUAAGAAGAGCAGAGAGCUUAUACCAACACCAGGCUCCAUGCUGGGCUCCGUGAACCAACACCAGACGCCUCUUCUUCUUCCCUUCCAUCUUCCUUCAGCUCACAACUUCAAUCCUUUACGUCUCUGUUACAUAAAUAUAUCUGUACAUUUAUUCAUAUUUAUAAUAUAGCUAGUCUUUAGUUUAGACCCGUAACCCGAGUUUUGUCUUUUCUUAUUGCUUAACACAAUGUUAAAUAAAAAUAAUAAUUGAUAUUUGGUAAUAUUAUAAUAGUUAAUUUAUUAAAACAUAUUUAUUUUUUUUAUUGAUAAUGAUGAAUUAGAAAGUUUUUCCUUUUUUAUUUAUUAGGGUAUUAAGUUUAAUGACAUACAAAAUAAUCAUGUUUUAUAUAUAAGUUUUAUAAGAGAAAAUAUAUUCAAGAUAUUUUCUUUUUAGAAGAGUUAAAUUAACUAUUAUGUUGAGUUGCCUAACAAUCCUGCACGGAUAGUGAAGUUCGAUUACGUUACGAUUCAUAAAUUUUACUUUUCAAUGGAUAGAAUUUUAAUUGGAUACGAUGUUAUAUGUUCCUCCCUAAUACGUCUUUUUCCAUAUAUCUAUUUAAUUGUGAUAGAGUUAUAAUUUGAAAUUUGGUUGCAAUUAAUUGUAUUGCUUUAUUUAUUUUCAUUUAAUUUGUGCAUAACACUCUUACACGUUAGUUUAUUUUAUUUAUUUUUAUAUUUCUAAUUCUUAAAUUUAAAUUUUAUAAAUAUUGAUUUUAUUUUAAAUCAAUUUCUUGAUAAAUGAUAAUUUGAGUUAGUUUUACUAUAAUUAUUAUUUUUAACUACUAAUAAAACAAAAAUUAUAUUGAAAAAAUAUAAUUAAUUUGAUAGAUUGCAUUAUCAUUAAUUUAAUUUAUAAAUCAUACAUCACUUUUUAAAAUAAUUUGACGAUGACAACUAUAUUUCAUCCAUAUAAAAUUAUUUUUAAUUUUUUGUUAGAUGUAACAUUCCAAAAAUAUAGUAGUAUACUAUAUUAAAGAGUCAUCACAAUUCUAAUAUGAACAAGAACAGUCAACAAAAAUAGAAAAAUAAGUAAGGUUUACAUCAUCCGAAAUAACUAUAAAAGCCCACUCUAUUUACGAUAUGAUGACAACAAAAUUAUACACGUGAUAACUAUUUAAGGAUGUUAUGCGUUAGCUGCUCCUCCAUUUAAUGUCUACUCAAUAGAGACCUCAUCACUCAUACCCACCGGAUGAUCAUUGUCAAGAAGAGAAACAAAGAAUAUACAACAAAAUCACAAACAAAAGGGUAAGCUAAAUAUUAAAACCAUUCAUACAAUAUUUAAAACCAUCCCUCACCUCUCGCCAGCGACUACUCUCGUUGUGCGACAACAGAAACAGUGGUCCAAGCUCUAUCACCUCUCGCUCAGUGAACACUCUCGUUGAGCGAGAAUGCAUAAUUCUGUAACACCAAAACUACAAAAUUUGUACCCCCUGCACCACUCUUAACCUAUUCUAUACCUCUUUCUCAACUUCUAAUACUACUAUAUUCUAUUAUACACUCAAAUAGGCUUAAACAAUUGUAUCUAAACUAACCUAAACUCAAUUUAAAGUGAUUGUCCUCAAGAUUCCACUCCAAAAUUAACCAAACCUCAUUUUAUAGACCCACAUUGAAUUCUACCAGUUAUAGUUUGUUUUUAAACAACUUAGAGAUUUCAACAAGUCCCAAAUGACUUAUCAACACCAACAAAAAUGACCAUUUAAACACAGAACCUAAAAUUCAACUUUUCACUAGUUCAAACCUCCCUUAAACUAGUUCUAAACCCAGCUAAAUUCUACUUAUCAACUAUCAAACAUUCUUAGAUCAAAUUUUCUUCAUUUCAAUGCUUAAACAAGUUAUAAAACAUCCCAUAACAUACCCCCAAAUACCACAAACCAGUUUUUCAUUCCUUUCUCACAACUUCACUACCUAAAACCUCAUUUUUCCUUCAAAACACCACCAAAACUCCUAAGUUUUCAACUCUUUACUAUAGUAUUUACCAAUAGAUUUAUAAUUAUUAAUAAAUUUUGCAAUCCAUUUAUAAAAGUUACUAACUUUUAUUUUAUAUACAAAUUUUUUGUUAUCAAUAAUGUAAUUAAUAUUAAAUUCAAAUUAUUGACGAAUUGUUAUUAUUAUUAACCAAUUAUUUUUGCCUGUAAUACACAAUUUUCUUAUAAUAAUUAUUUGGAAACAAUUACAGAUUUAGAAAAAAAAAAACAUAAUAUAGAGUUAAAAAAUUAUAAAUACGAUCUCCAGCAACUAAAUAAAUGUCACCUCGCACGAAUUAAAAAAAAGUGUUAAUUUUUUUUUAAAGUUGGUUAAGAAUGUUCAUAAUUAUGAAAUCAUAUAAAAAAUUCAUAAAAUUAUGAGACUAAAUAAAGAAUUAAAUCUUAAAUCUUGUAGAUUUAAAUAUAAGGUUAAAGAAUUAAAUAUAUUUUCAUCCUUAAAUUAUUUUAAAAAAUUAUAUUCGAUGUCUAAAUUAAAGUAUGUUUGUAAAGUACCCACCAAUAUGUUAUAAAUAAGUUUAAUUAUUUAAUUUAUAUACUUUGGUUUUACGUAGGUGGUUUAUAGCUUUAGUCCUUAACAUAUACACAUGAAUCUGUUUUAACUUUUAUAACAAAGUUUAUCAUAAAAUAUUAGAACGAUAUUUAAAAAUGAGAGAAAAAUUAAAAUGAGUAGAAUAUAAAAGAAAGGAAUGGAUUUAAAGCCAUAGAGAAUGAUCAUAUUCCAUCAAUUUAAACCUAGUCAGUCCCAUUAGUCUACUUACAAUUAUAAUAGUACUGCGAUAGAAAUUAUUAUGUAGAAUUCAAAAACUAAUAGAACGGUUUUAUAAAGUAGAGAAGCAAAUUGAUCAUAUAGGACCAUCUACAAAUAUCUGGGAAGGUACAAAUGUCUCAGCCGGUAACCAUCAUAAAAUGUAUUUGCUGAUACUUAUGGUCAUCACACACGCAAUUGCAGAAAUAAAAUAAACGGUGAAAUGCUAGUAAUAGAUGUUGGCAAUCUCUUGAAGGUAAGAGAAAAGCUGUUGUGGUUUAGAGAACAUGGGCAUGUGAUCAGCUCCAGGAAUCACUUUGACCUCGUUAGGAGGGUUUCUUUCAACCAUUGACAGUUGAAAAUCCUGUUGCAUUAUUUUGUCUUGUUCACACACUAUAUACACUCUAGCCACAGUUCCAUGGUUCUCUUCCGUGAGUUUUGUAUUCUCUCGCAAAUCUUCAUCAUCGAAGAUGGGAAAGGGUCUCAAAAGUGAAGACGCCAGGGUCAAGUCCUGGUGAUCAUUUACACAUACUAUGGUUUAUUAAGAGACUUUUACGAUCGUCUGUAAAUUUGAAUGCUAAUAAUUUGAAAACAACUUGAAAAGACAUAUACCUCUGGUGGAGAUUGUUGGUAGACGUUGGAUGCUAAGUUUUGAAGAUCACAUGUCAUAUAUCGCUUCGGAUGAUCGUUGGUAUUUUCAUCUGUGACAGUCUUUGAGCCGAAAUUGGAUUUCAAGCUUAACCUGUGCUUGAACUAUAGAAAAUUAAAUUAAAUUGAGUAGCAGAGAGAUGAAAGAACGGUUUAGGUUGGUUGGUGUACCUCUAGGAACAGUGAGAGAUAGCUGAGGUGGGGACCAGGCAUCCAACCGGUAAGGAAAACAGCAGCUGCAAUUUUGUGGGGGAAGAACUCCAUGGCUAGAGAAAUACAUAAGCCUCCAAAACUAUGACCGACAAGGAUGACUCGUUCCUCUGGUGGUAAAGAUCGUAGAAAUUGGAGCAAAGGUUCAACAUAUUCUGAAACUGAAGUGAUAUCAAGCACUUGGUUUGGAUGGAUGCCGGAUGCAGCCAUGUCGAGACACGUGACUUGAAGGCCGGCGGAAUUGAGGAGAGUAGAGAGCUUGUACCAACACCAGGCUCCAUGGUAGGCUCCGUGAACCAACACCAGACGCCUCUUCUUCUUCCCCUCCAUCUUCCUUCAGCUCAAAACUUCAAUGCUUCACGUCUCUACUAAAUAAAUAUACAUGUCCAUUUUCUUUCAUUAAAAUGUAUU
rnacentral:lncRNA from 1 species